rnacentral:rRNA from 1 species
UACGAGAGGCCCAAACGUUAUUCGGAAUUACUGGGCUUAAAGAGUCCGUAGGCGGCGCAGAAAGUAGGGUGUGAAAGCCCUCGGCUUAACCGAGGAAUUGCGAUCUAAACUACUGUGCUUGAGGAACCUAGAGGUGAGCGGAACUGAUGGUGGAGCGGUGAAAUGCGUUGAUAUCAUCAGGAACACCGGAGGCGAAGGCGGCUCACUGGGGGUUAUCUGACGCUGAGGGACGAAAGCCAGGGGAGCGAACGGG